rnacentral:rRNA from 1 species
UGGGGAAUAUUGCACAAUGGAGGGAACUCUGAUGCAGCGACGCCGCGUGAACGAAGAAGGCUUUCGAGUCGUAAAGUUCUUUUAUAUGGGAAGAUAAUGACGGUACCAUAAGAAAAAUCCCCGGCUAACUACGUGCCAGCAGCCGCGGUAAUACGUAGGGGGCUAGCGUUGUCCGGAAUCACUGGGCGUAAAGGGUUCGCAGGCGGAAAUGCAAGUCAGGUGUAAAAGGCAGUAGCUUAACUACUGUAAGCAUUUGAAACUGCAUAUCUUGAGAAGAGUAGAGGUAAGUAGAAUUUUUAGUGUAGCGGUGAAAUGCGUAGAUAUUAAAAAGAAUACCGGUGGCGAAGGCGACUUACUGGGCUCAUUCUGACGCUGAGGAACGAAAGCGUGGGUAGCAAACAGG